GGGAUGAACGCUGGCGGCGUGCCUAAGACAUGCAAGUCGAGUGGGUUUAGGCCCACGGCAAACGGGUGAGUAAUAUCUAGGAACGUACCACUAGUUGAGCAUAACCUACCGAAAGGUAGAGCAAUUCUCAAUGUGACCGCAAGGUUAAAGUCGCAAGACGCUAGUGAAGCGGCCUGGACACCAUCAGCUUGUUGGUAAGGUAAAAGCUUACCAAGGCUAUGACGGUUAGGGGCCCCGAGAGGGGAAACCCCCACACUGGAACUGAGACACGGUCCAGACUCCUACGGGAGGCAGCAGUUUGGAAUUUUGGACAAUGGGCGAAAGCCUGAUCCAGCGACGCCGCGUGGACGAUGAAGGUCUUCGGAUCGUAAAGUCCUUUUGUAGGGAAGAUAUUUUGACGGUACCUAACGAAUAAGAGGUUGCUAACUCUGUGCCAGCAGCCGC
rnacentral:rRNA from 1 species